GUCCGCGCGGUAAACGAUGGAUGCCCGCUGUUGGGCCAACUGGUUCAGCGGCCAAGCGAAAGCAUUAAGCAUCCCACCUGGGGAGUACGCCGGCAACGGUGAAACUCAAAGGAAUUGACGGGGGCCCGCACAAGCGGAGGAACAUGUGGUUUAAUUCGAUGAUACGCGAGGAACCUUACCCGGGCUUGAAUUGCAGAGGAAGGAUUUGGAGACAAUGACGCCCUUCGGGGCCUCUGUGAAGGUGCUGCAUGGUUGUCGU
rnacentral:rRNA from 1 species